GGAAUAUUGGGCAAUGGAGGAAACUCUGACCCAGCGACGCCGCGUGCGGGAUGAAGGCCUUCGGGUUGUAAACCGCUUUCAGCAGGGAAGUAGCGAAAGUGACGGUACCUGCAGAAGAAGCACCGGCUAACUAUGUGCCAGCAGCCGCGGUAAUACAUAGGGUGCAAGCGUUGUCCGGAAUUAUUGGGCGUAAAGAGCUCGUAGGUGGUUCGUCACGUCGGAUGUGAAACUCUGGGGCUUAACCCCAGACCUGCAUUCGAUACGGGCGAGCUUGAGUAUGGUAGGGGAGUCUGGAAUUCCUGGUGUAGCGGUGGAAUGCGCAGAUAUCAGGAGGAACACCAAUGGCGAAGGCAGGACUCUGGGCCAUUACUGACACUGAGGAGCGAAAGCGUGGGGAGCGAACAGGAUUAGAUACCCUGGUAGUCCACGCCGUAAACGGUGGGCACUAGUUGUGGGGACCUUCCACGGUCUCUGCGACGCAGCUAACGCAUUAAGUGCCCCGCCUGGGGAGUACGAUCGCAAGAUUAAAACUCAAAUGAAUUGACGG
rnacentral:rRNA from 1 species